rnacentral:lncRNA from 1 species
CUAUUCACAAACGCACAAAGCAGCUCAAGUCAGCGUUUUAUGAUCAUGUCCUUUCACAUUUUGAGAUGAAGGGAUUCAUCUGAUCAGUGUUUUUUGUUAUGCCCACAAGAUGUUUGUUGAUUUUUCUGCUAGAUUUAUACCUCUUGUUUGUAUCUGUAUUUUCUUGCAAAAUUUAGUCUUGUCUUCUCCAAUAAGCACAUCUCAGUGUCCUAUGAACAAAGCAGCUCAAGUCAGCGUUUUAUGAUCACGUCCUUUCACAUUUUGAGAUGAAGGGAUUCAUCUGAUCAGUGUUUUUUGUUAUGCCCCCAAGAUGUUUGUUGAUUUUUCUGCUAGAUUUAUACCUCUUGUUUGUAUCUGUAUUUUCUUGCAAAAUUUAGUCUCGUCUUCUCCAAUAAGCACAUCCCAGUGUCCUAUGAAUUUCAACUAUGUUCUAACAAUCCAUUGGGACUCAUCUGCCUGCAAAAACAAUGGAGAAAACCCUGACUUUGAU